ACGAUCAGUAGGGGUUCUGAGAGGAAGGUCCCCCACAUUGGAACUGAGACACGGUCCAAACUCCUACGGGAGGCAGCAGUGAGGAAUAUUGGUCAAUGGACGAGAGUCUGAACCAGCCAAGUAGCGUGCAGGAUGACGGCCCUAUGGGUUGUAAACUGCUUUUAUAAGGGAAUAAAGUGAGUCUCGUGAGACUUUUUGCAUGUACCUUAUGAAUAAGGACCGGCUAAUUCCGUGCCAGCAGCCGCGGUAAUACGGAAGGUCCGGGCGUUAUCCGGAUUUAUUGGGUUUAAAGGGAGCGUAGGCCGGAGAUUAAGCGUGUUGUGAAAUGUAGACGCUCAACGUCUGCACUGCAGCGCGAACUGGUUUCCUUGAGUACGCACAAAGUGGGCGGAAUUCGUGGUGUAGCGGUGAAAUGCUUAGAUAUCACGAAGAACUCCGAUUGCGAAGGCAGCUCACUGGAGCGCAACUGACGCUGAAGCUCGAAAGUGCGGGUAUCGAACAGGAUUAGAUACCCUGGUAGUCCGCACGGUAAACGAUGGAUGCCCGCUGUUGGUCUGAAUAGGUCAGCGGCCAAGCGAAAGCA
rnacentral:rRNA from 1 species